AGUGAACGCUGGCGGUAGGCCUAACACAUGCAAGUCGAACGGCAGCACAGUAAGAGCUUGCUCUUACGGGUGGCGAGUGGCGGACGGGUGAGGAAUACAUCGGAAUCUACUUUUUCGUGGGGGAUAACGUAGGGAAACUUACGCUAAUACCGCAUACGACCUACGGGUGAAAGCAGGGGAUCUUCGGACCUUGCGCGAUUGAAUGAGCCGAUGUCGGAUUAGCUAGUUGGCGGGGUAAAGGCCCACCAAGGCGACGAUCCGUAGCUGGUCUGAGAGGAUGAUCAGCCGCACUGGAACUGAGACACGGUCCAGACUCCUACGGGAGGCAGCAGUGGGGAAUAUUGGACAAUGGGCGCAAGCCUGAUCCAGCCAUACCGCGUGGGUGAAGAAGGCCUUUGGGUUGUAAAGCCCUUUUGUUGGGAAAGAAAAGCAGCAGGUUAAUACCCCGCUGUUCUGACGGUACCCAAAGAAUAAGCACCGGCUAACUUCGUG
rnacentral:rRNA from 1 species